rnacentral:rRNA from 1 species
AAUGAACGCUGGCGGCAUGCCUAACACAUGCAAGUCGAACGAAGGCUUCGGCCUUAGUGGCGCACGGGUGCGUAACGCGUGGGAAUCUGCCCCUUGGUUCGGAAUAACAGUUAGAAAUGACUGCUAAUACCGGAUGAUGACGUAAGUCCAAAGAUUUAUCGCCGAGGGAUGAGCCCGCGUAGGAUUAGCUAGUUGGUGUGGUAAGAGCGCACCAAGGCGACGAUCCUUAGCUGGUCUGAGAGGAUGAUCAGCCACACUGGGACUGAGACACGGCCCAGACUCCUACGGGAGGCAGCAGUGGGGAAUAUUGGACAAUGGGCGAAAGCCUGAUCCAGCAAUGCCGCGUGGGUGAUGAAGGCCUUAGGGUUGUAAAGCUCUUUUACCCGGGAUGAUAAUGACAGUACCGGGAGAAUAAGCUCCGGCUAACUCCGUG